UGUGUCGCCUGGGUCUGACGUCUCUCUCUCUCUCUCUCUCUCUCUCUCUGUACAUCUCUGAGUGUGUGUGUAAACAGGAUGAUGGAAGCUCACUCUCGUCCUCAAACCAUCACAUCAUCGUAAGUAACACACUGUGACGUUUGCGUACGUCAUGCAGCUCGAUGAAACAGACAGUGUAUUUGCUGAUCUGAACUCGGUGAUUCCUGAGACAGAGCUGCUGGAUAACAGCAUACAGAAGAGCCGAGCACCGCUACCGCUGAAGAGCAGGAGGAACCGACCAUCACGCUCGCGUCUCACUGACAGCCUGAGCUCCACCGAGGGGACGAGGGGCCCGACACCAGGUCUGCAGACACGCCCCUCCACUCAGCUCCAGUGCACUCGUUCCUCCGUGACUCCACCCUCACGCCAGAGCUCCUCCUCUCCUCCUUUGACGCUGCCCUCGCGCGCAGAUCUCCGGAGGACCCUAAAGCUCAUCGUUACCGUCAGCUCACCAACACCACAUCCCACGAUGCACUGCUGCCCCCCGUCCCGCCCUCCCCCUGCAGGUCAUGUCCCGAAACCUCCCCUGUGCACUUCCGCAGGGGCCGACGCCCUGAAAGUGAAGGUAAUUAUUAUUAUUAGCAUUAGCCAGCAUGAACUUCUUCAGCAGUUUGUGCUGCAGUAGAUCUUCUGUGAGAUCGGACCAGACGGACUAGCCUUCUCUCCUCACGCACAUCACUGAGCCUUGUACACUCAUGACCCUGUCGCCGGUUCUCCUUCCUUGGAGCGCUUUUGGUAGGUACUAACCCCUGCACACAGGGAACACCCCACAACACCUGCGGUUCUGGAGACGCUCUGACCCAGACGUCUAGACAUCACAAUCUGACCCGUGUUGAAGUCUCUCAGAUCCUUACACUCGCCCAUUUCUCCUGCUUCCAGCACGUCACCUUCCACAACUGACUGUUCACCUGCUGCCUAAUAAAUAUAUACCCCCCUCUACAGGUGUCUCUGUAACGAGAUCAUCAACGUUAU
ensembl:lncRNA